AGUGAACGCUGGCGGUAGGCCUAACACAUGCAAGUCGAACGGCAGCACAGUAAGAGCUUGCUCUUACGGGUGGCGAGUGGCGGACGGGUGAGGAAUACAUCGUAAUCUACUUUUUCGUGGGGGUUAACGUAGGGAAACCUACGCUAAUACCGCAUACGACCUUCGGGUGAAAGCAGGGGAACUUCGGACCUUGCGCGAUUGAAUGCGCCGAUGUCGGAUUAGCUAGUUGGCGGGGUAAAUGCCCACCAAGGCGACGAUCCGUAGCUGGUCUGAGAGGAUGAUCAGCCACACUGGAACUGAGACACGGUCCAGACUCCUACGGGAGGCAGCAGUGGGGAAUAUUGGACAAUGGGCGCAAGCCUGAUCCAGCGAUACCGCGUGGGUGAAGAAGGCCUUCGGGUUGUAAAGCCCUUUUGUUGGGAAAGAAAAGCAGCAGGUUAAUACCCCGCUGUUCUGACGGUACCCAAUGAAUAAGCACCGGCUAACUUCGUG
rnacentral:rRNA from 1 species